AUUGAACGCUGGCGGUAUGCCUUACACAUGCAAGUCGAACGGUAGAGGGGCAACCCUUGAGAGUGGCGAACGGGUGAGUAAUACAUCGGAACGUGCCCAGUCGUGGGGGAUAACGUAGCGAACGCUACGCUAAUACCGCAUACGACCUGAGGGUGAAAGCGGGGGAUCGCAAGACCUCGCGCGAUUGGAGCGGCCUAUGGCAGAUUAGGUAGUUGGUGGGGUAAAGGCCUACCAAGCCUGCGAUCUGUAGCUGGUCUGAUAGGACGACCAGCCACACUGGAACUGAGACACGGCCCAGACUCCUACGGGAGGCAGCAGUGGGGAAUUUUGGACAAUGGGCGAAAGCCUGAUCCAGCCAUACCGCGUGCGGGAAGAAGGCCUUCGGGUUGUAAACCGCUUUUGUCAGGGAAGAAAUCUUCUGGGUUAAUACCUCGGGAGGAUGACGGUACCUGAAGAAUAAGCACCGGCUAACUACGUGCCAGCCGCCGCAGUAA
rnacentral:rRNA from 1 species